rnacentral:rRNA from 1 species
GACGAACGCUGGCGGCGUGCCUAAUACAUGCAAGUCGAGCGAAGUUUUUCUGGUGCUUGCACUAGAAAAACUUAGCGGCGAACGGGUGAGUAACGCGUAAAGAACCUGCCUCAUAGACUGGGACAACUAUUGGAAACGAUAGCUAAUACCGGAUAACAGUAUUUCUCGCAUGAGAGAUAUUUAAAAGUUGGUUAUGCUAACACUAUGAGAUGGCUUUGCGGUGCAUUAGCUAGUUGGUGGGGUAAAGGCCCACCAAGGCGACGAUGCAUAGCCGACCUGAGAGGGUGAUCGGCCACACUGGGACUGAGACACGGCCCAGACUCCUACGGGAGGCAGCAGUAGGGAAUCUUCCGCAAUGGGCGAAAGCCUGACGGAGCAACGCCGCGUGAGUGAAGAAGGAUUUCGGUUCGUAAAGCUCUGUUGUUAGGGAAGAAUGGAUAUGUAGUAACUAUACAUGUAAGAGACGGUACCUAACCAGAAAGCCACGGCUAACUACGUG